rnacentral:rRNA from 1 species
GACGAACGCUGGCGGCGUGCCUAAUACAUGCAAGUCGAACGCAGUGGGGACGGGUGAGUAACACGUGGGUAACCUCCCAUCAGAGGGGAUAACACUUGGAAACAGGUGCUAAACCGAUACUGAUGGCUGAACCCGUGGUGCAUUAGCGAGUUGGUGAGGUAACGGGUCACAAAGGCCACGAGGCAUAGCCGACCUGCGAGGGUGAUCGGCCCAACUGGGACGUAGACACGGCCCAGACUCCUACGGGAGGCAGCAGUAGGUAAUUUUCGGCAAUGGACGAAAGUCUGACCGAGCAACGCCGCGUGAGUGAAGAAGGUUUUCGGAUCGUAAAACUCUGUUGUUAGAGAAGCGGUAUCUAACCAGAAAGCCACGGCUAACUACGUGCCAGCCGCCGCGGUAAUAC